UACGGAGGGUGCGAGCGUUGUCCGGAAUCACUGGGCGUAAAGGGCGCGUAGGCGGCUUGGGAAGUCCGUGGUGAAAGCUCGAGGCUCAACUUCGAGUCGGCCAAGGAUACUCCUAAGCUCGAGUCGACUAGAGGCAGAUGGAAUUCCGGGUGUAGCGGUGGAAUGCGUAGAGAUCCGGAAGAACACCGGUGGCGAAGGCGGUCUGCUGGGGUCGAACUGACGCUGAGGCGCGACAGCGUGGGGAGCGAACGGG
rnacentral:rRNA from 1 species